GAUGAACGCUGGCGGCGUGCCUAAUACAUGCAAGUCGAGCGAAUGGAUUAAGAGCUUGCUCUUAUGAAGUUAGCGGCGGACGGGUGAGUAACACGUGGGUAACCUGCCCAUAAGACUGGGAUAACUCCGGGAAACCGGGGCGAAUACCGGAUAACAUUUUGAACCGCAUGGUUCGAAAUUGAAAGGUGGCUUUGGCUGUCACUUAUGGAUGGACCCGCGUCGCAUUAGCUUGUUGGUGAGGUAACGGCUCACCAAGGCAACGAUGCGUAGCCGACCUGAGAGGGUGAUCGGCCACACUGGGACUGAGACACGGCCCAGACUCCUACGGGAGGCAGCAGUAGGGAAUCUUCCGCAAUGGACGAAAGUCUGACGGAGCAACGCCGCGUGAGUGAUGAAGGCUUUCGGGUCGUAAAACUCUGUUGUUAGGGAAGAACAAGUGCUAGUUGAAUAAGCUGGCACCUUGACGGUACCUAACCAGAAAGCCACGGCUAACUACGUGCCAGCCGCCGCGGUAA
rnacentral:rRNA from 1 species